rnacentral:rRNA from 1 species
CGCUGGGUAGCUAUGUGUGGCAGGGAUAAACGCUGAAAGCAUCUAAGCGUGAAGCCCCCCUCAAGAUGAGAUUUCCCAUUUCUUCGGAAAGUAAGAUCCCUGAAAGAUGAUCAGGUAGAUAGGUUUGGAGUGGAAGUGUAGCGAUACAUGGAGCGGACAAAUACUAAUCGAUCGAGGACUUAACCAAAA